AGAGCGAACGCUGGCGGCAGGCUUAACACAUGCAAGUCGAGCGGGCGUAGCAAUACGUCAGCGGCAGACGGGUGAGUAACGCGUGGGAACGUACCUUUUGGUUCGGAACAACCCAGGGAAACUUGGGCUAAUACCGGAUAAGCCCUUACGGGGAAAGAUUUAUCGCCGAAAGAUCGGCCCGCGUCUGAUUAGCUAGUUGGUGAGGUAAUGGCUCACCAAGGCGACGAUCAGUAGCUGGUCUGAGAGGAUGAUCAGCCACAUUGGGACUGAGACACGGCCCAAACUCCUACGGGAGGCAGCAGUGGGGAAUAUUGGACAAUGGGCGCAAGCCUGAUCCAGCCAUGCCGCGUAAGUGAUGAAGGCCCUAGGGUUGUAAAGCUCUUUUGUGCGGGAAGAUAAUGACGGUACCGCAAGAAUAAGCCCCGGCUAACUUCGCGCCAGCAGCCGC
rnacentral:rRNA from 1 species